UGGGGAAUAUUGGACAAUGGGCGCAAGCCUGAUCCAGCCAUGCCGCGUGAGUGAUGAAGGCCCUAGGGUUGUAAAGCUCUUUCACCGGUGAAGAUAAUGACGGUAACCGGAGAAGAAGCCCCGGCUAACUUCGUGCCAGCAGCCGCGGUAAUACAAAGGGGGCUAGCGUUGUUCGGAUUUACUGGGCGUAAAGCGCACGUAGGCGGACUAUUAAGUCAGGGGUGAAAUCCCGGGGCUCAACCCCGGAACUGCCUUUGAUACUGGUAGUCUUGAGUUCGAGAGAGGUGAGUGGAAUUCCGAGUGUAGAGGUGAAAUUCGUAGAUAUUCGGAGGAACACCAGUGGCGAAGGCGGCUCACUGGCUCGAUACUGACGCUGAGGUGCGAAAGCGUGGGGAGCAAACAGG
rnacentral:rRNA from 1 species